GCCCCCAUCGUCUAGUGGCCUAGGACAUGGCCCUCUCAAGGCCAAGGCCGGGGUUCGAGUCCCCGUGGGGGCA
rnacentral:tRNA from 1 species